rnacentral:rRNA from 1 species
AGAGUUUGAUCCUGGCUCAGGAUGAACGCUAGCGACAGGCUUAACACAUGCAAGUCGAGGGGCAGCAUAGAAGUAGCAAUACUUUGGUGGCGACCGGCGCACGGGUGAGUAACGCGUAUGCAACCUACCUAUCAGAGGGGAAUAACCCGGCGAAAGUCGGACUAAUACCGCAUAAAACAGGGGCACCGCAUGGUGAUAUUUGUUAAAGAAAUUCGCUGAUAGAUGGGCAUGCGUUCCAUUAGGUAGUUGGUGAGGUAACGGCUCACCAAGCCGACGAUGGAUAGGGGAACUGAGAGGUUGGUCCCCCACACUGGUACUGAGACACGGACCAGACUCCUACGGGAGGCAGCAGUGAGGAAUAUUGGUCAAUGGGCGGGAGCCUGAACCAGCCAAGUCGCGUGAAGGAAGAAGGAUCUAUGGUUCGUAAACUUCUUUUGCAGGGGAAUAAAGUGCAGGACGUGUCCUGUUUUGUAUGUACCCUGAGAAUAAGGAUCGGCUAACUCCGUGCCAGCAGCCGCGGUAAUACGGAGGAUCCGAGCGUUAUCCGGAUUUAUUGGGUUUAAAGGGUGCGUAGGUGGUUUGAUAAGUCAGCGGUGAAAGUUUGCAGCUUAACUGUAAAAAUGCCGUUGAAACUGUCGGACUUGAGUGUAAAUGAGGUAGGCGGAAUGCGUGGUGUAGCGGUGAAAUGCAUAGAUAUCACGCAGAACUCCGAUUGCGAAGGCAGCUUACUAAGUUGUAACUGACGCUGAAGCACGAAAGCAUGGGGAUCAAACAGGAUUAGAUACCCUGGUAGUCG